rnacentral:rRNA from 1 species
AUCUUUAGUUAUUUUAUUAAAGAUAGUUUCUGCUCAGUGAUUUUAAACAGCCGCAGUAAUUUGACUGUGCAAAGGUAGCAUAAUCAUUUGCCUCAUAAUUGGGGGCUUGUAUGAAUGGUAGCACGAAAAUUUAACUGUCUUUUUUUUAUUUUUAUAAUUUGUAUUUAGUGUGAAGAUACAUUAAUUUUUUAAUAGGACAAGAAGACCCUUUUGAGCUUUACUUAAUAGCUCUCUUUUUGUUUCUAUUUAGUUUGGUUGGGGCGACCAAAGAAGAUAAAAUAAAGGUAUCUUCUUUUUAGUUUUAGAGAACCAGAAUUUUUGGUAUAUAGAUUUAGUUACCAAAGGGAUAACAGCGUAAUUUUUUUUGAGAGUUCUUAUUAAAAAUUAAGAUUGCGACCUCGAUGUUGACUUAUAGUUUCCUUUUGGUGCAGUAGCUAAUAGGGUAGGUCUGUUCGACCUUUAAAAUUU